UUGUCUCCGUGGACCUGUAAAGGCGGCAGCCAAUAGACGCGCUUUAUGGGAGUUGGAGCCGAUGUUUUUACAGGCUUCUAUCAUCUCAACCAGAGAGGGA